UUUUUCUCUUCUAGUUUUGCUUUUCUAACUCGCGGCCGACACCGUGAAUUGAUAAAGUUUUUGCAUUAUUUUCGUCGUGGCCAAAGCCAAGAAAGAAAUUCGACACAUCUUAACACUUUUUUAAUAAAAAGACGUACAAACGAUGGAUGGAAGGACAAAGGAUGGGUUUGGAAAAAGAAGGCAAAUCCCAACUCAAGCAAGCUGCCAGCUUGAUGCUAGCACAGGAUGUAUUCAUUAAUAGAGCUAAGUAACAGAAAGAUAGAUAAUAGUUACAAAUAAAAACUUGUUAUAAAAAAAUGAACCAGGCUAAUAAAAUAAACUAAAAGUAGUCAGAAACUUUGAAAACAAGUUAGAGUGGUUUAUUUAAUUCACCUUUUAACAAAGUGGCUGGUACAAAACACUGACCAACAUUGGCCCUUAUUGCAAAUGGACUAAAUGGGUUUUCUAGUAAAAAAAAUAUAGUUUCAAUUUGAACUAAUUAACUGCACAGGGUUUUGUGAGCAAUCUACUUUUCAAAUAGCUGAUAUGAAUACAGCUCAAUACUUAGGAAUCUGAAUUGAUAUUUGCAAAAAUCAACAGCAAUGUACAAUUUGACCUUUCAUGCAAUUAUUUCAAAGAUAGUUUGAAAAAACAAACUGCAUCAAGCCCUAUUUUAUGUUUUAGCACAAAAAUACCAGGUGUACAUACCCUUGAAACCAUGAUGCUUCAAUAUGGGGGUCUAGUGGGUCCAUGGACCUCCUCAUUGAGGGUCAGCGUUUUGUAUGAUCCACUCAAGACAAAGUGUCAAUUCAAAGAGUAUUAGCCAAAAAAAACAGUAAAGAAGGUUGAUAAAACUGUUUCACCAUUAUUUGUAAUUUCUACCAAAUUACUUUUAUUACCCUUCAACUGGGAGAAAAUUAUAAAAAUCAAGAAAAUCUAGUAGUAGUGCAAUGUGAAAGGAAGAAGUGGAAUUUGGACAGUGUAGGCAAGUAUGGAGCACAUUUACUGGCAAAAACGAUAUGCUAAUGUAUAGAAACGCGUUGUGUGCUGAUAUGGUUUUAAAUGUUAAAGAGAUUAAAAAAGCACCCAUUUUAC